CCUACGGGUGGCAGCAGUGAGGAAUCUUCCACAAUGGGCGCGAGCCUGAACGAGCCACGUAGCGUGAAGGAUGACUGCCCUACGGGUUGUAAACUCCUUUUAUAAAGGAAUAAAGUGAGGCAAGUGAGUCUCUUUUAUUUGACUUUAUGUAUUUGGAUCGGCUAACUCCGUGCCAGCAGCGGCGGUACUACGGAGGGUCCGAGCCUUGUCCGGAUUUAUUGGGUUUAAAGGGAGGGUAGAUGGGUUGAUAAGUCAGUUGUGAAAGUUUUCGGCUCAACCGUAGAAUUGCAUUAGAUACUGGUGGACUUGAGUACAGUAGAGGUAGGCGGAAUUCGAGGUGUAGCGGUGAAAUGCUUAGAUAUAACGAAGAACUCCGAUUGCGAAGGCAGCUUACUAAACUGCCACUGACGUUGAGGCUCGAAAGUGUGGGUAGCAAACAGGAUUAGAUACCCGAGUAGUC
rnacentral:rRNA from 1 species